ACAACGGUUUCUGGUACCGUCAA
rnacentral:tRNA from 1 species